rnacentral:rRNA from 1 species
GACGAACGCUGGCGGCGUGCCUAAUACAUGCAAGUAGAACGCACAGUUUAUACCGUAGCUUGCUACACCAUAGACUGUGAGUUGCGAACGGGUGAGUAACGCGUAGGUAACCUGCCUGGUAGCGGGGGAUAACUAUUGGAAACGAUAGCUAAUACCGCAUAAUAUUGAUUAUUGCAUGAUAAUUGAUUGAAAGAUGCUAUUGCAUCACUACCAGAUGGACCUGCGUUGUAUUAGCUAGUAGGUGAGGUAACGGCUCACCUAGGCGACGAUACAUAGCCGACCUGAGAGGGUGAUCGGCCACACUGGGACUGAGACACGGCCCAGACUCCUACGGGAGGCAGCAGUAGGGAAUCUUCGGCAAUGGACGAAAGGCUGACCGAGCAACGCCGCGUGAGUGAAGAAGGGUUUCGGAUCGUAAAGCUCUGUUGUAAGAGAAGAACGGGUGUGAGAGUGGAAAGUUCACACUGUGACGGUAUCUUACCAGAAAGGGACGGCUAACUACGUG